rnacentral:rRNA from 1 species
UACGAAGGGUGCAAGCGUUAAUCGGAAUUACUGGGCGUAAAGAGCUCGUAGGCGGUUUGUUGCGUCGGCUGUGAAAUCCCGAGGCUCAACCUCGGGUCUGCAGUCGAUACGAGCAAACUAGAGUGUUGCAGGGGAGACUGGAAUUCCUGGUGUAGCGGUGAAAUGCGCAGAUAUCAGGAGGAACACCGGUGGCGAAGGCGGGUCUCUGGGCAACAACUGACGCUGAGGAGCGAAAGCGUGGGGAGCGAACAGG